UACGAAGGGUGCGAGCGUUGUUCGGAAUUAUUGGGCGUAAAGGGUUCGUAGGUUGGAAGGCAAGUCAAGUGUGAAAUCCCCGAGCUUAACUUGGGACGUGCACCUGAAACUGCUUUUCUUGAGUGUUGGAGAGGGUGAUGGAAUUGCUGGUGUAGGAGUGAAAUCCGUAGAUAUCAGCAGGAACACCGGAGGCGAAGGCGGUCACCUGGCCAAACACUGACACUGAGGAACGAAAGCGCGGGGAGCAAACAGG
rnacentral:rRNA from 1 species